UUCCUGGCCACCCUGCUGUGAGCAGCUCUCCUCCUCCCAGGCCCUUCCACCUCGCCCUUCUCCCUGGCAACCACUGACCACGGAAGAACUGGGACUUCUACAACUGAUCCACAUCCUGUGUUCUUUGCACAGCGCCACCAGAAGCCAUGCUCUUCCCGGCUGACAGUGGGGGGGAACCGAGCCUCGCCAGCUGUUUUCUUCUGAACACAAUGAAUGGGCAGAUGCCAGAAUGUGGAAACCGCCAAGGCAGAAAUGGGCCCCGACCUUCAAUGCCCAGGAGCUGUAGGAAUAGGUCUUCACCGGGGGCCAGCCCUAAGCCUGACAAGCCCAAACCUAAGCCAAACCCUAAGCCCAACCCUCAGCCCAACCCCCGGCCUAAUGGGCCUAUCAGACGUGGGAGACCAAUCUGUGGACACCCCCACACCUUGAUUUCCUCCAAUCACGACCUUAUCCCCACCCCCUGGAUUGAGCCUCCUUCCUGCACAAGGACCCUUUCUACCCUGCUGGUUGCGGAGCCCUGGAGUCCAUGUACUGGAGACUGUAACGCCUGACCUGAGUGAGACCCUCUGAGCAAAGAUGCUGUUAUCAAUAAACAACAGGAAACCAUGAAAGGUUCAUGCUUUUCUCAGCACAGAUGG